rnacentral:lncRNA from 1 species
GUUUAUCAGGUCAAGAUCUAUCUGCCCUGAAAUUUUCAGAUGAAUCGGACAACCCGUUGUUGGGUUGCUGCCCCUAAAUUGGUAAUUUUUAAGGAAAUUUUACUGUUUUGGGUUAUUAUCUUGAAUAUUAUUAUAGAUAGAGAUAAACUGUAAACAGCAAUAAUGUACAGCAAAGUAAGAUUUACAAAUAAGUCAAAAUGACUGAAAUGGUCAAUUGACCCCCUAAGGAGUUAUUGUCCUUUAUAGUCAAUUUUUAACAAUUUUCAUAAAAUUUGUAAAUUUUUACCAACAUUUUCCACUGAAACUACUGGGCCAAGUUCAUUAUAGAUAGAAAUAACUGUAAGCAGCAAGAAUGUUCAGUAAAGUAAGACGUACAAACACAUCACCAUCACCAAAACACAAUUUUGUCAUGAAUCCAUCUGCUUCCUUUGUUUAAUAUUCACAUAGACCAAGGUGAGCGACACAGGCUCUUUAGAGCCUCUAGUUUGUUAUUAUCUUGAAUAUUAUUAUAGAUAGAGAUAAACUGUAAACAGCAAUAAUGUACAGCAAAGUAAGACCUAAAAAUAAGUCGACAUGACCAAAAUGGUCAAUUGACCCCCUAAGGAGUUAUUGUCCUUUAUAGUCAAUUUUUAACAAUUUUCAUAAAAUUUGUAAAUUUUACUAACAUUUUCCACUGAAACUACUGGGCCAAGAUCAUUAUAGAUAGAGAUAAUUGUAAGCAGCAAGAAUGUUCAGUAAAGUAAGAUGUACAAACACAUCACCAUCACCAAAACACAAUUUUGUCAUGAAUCAAUCUGCUUCCUUUGUUUAAUAUUCACAUAGAC